GUGUUUGCUUCGGCAGCACAUAGACUAAUAUCGGAAUGAUACAGGGAAGAUUAGCAUGGCCCUGUGCAAGGAUGACACGCAAAUUCCUGAAGCAUAUUUUU
ensembl:snRNA U6 U6 spliceosomal RNA